rnacentral:ncRNA from 1 species
GGAGCAGAAAACAAGUACCCUUUUUAAGAGUUUUUCUAUGGAAGGAGAAUAUAACCGUCCUGCAGUAAAGCGGGUAAAUAUGUGCCUUGACGCGGUUGGCCGGACGCUUCUUGCAUGGUCAGGGAUGGCGAUAAUAUACGCUGCUUGGAAUCCAGCUAAGUACCUGAUUACAUGACCAGUACCGCAAAGGAGAACACAACGCGCCCCUACAAUAACACUCCGCGAGGCAUCUUUAUAAAAACAAAAGAGG